rnacentral:snRNA from 1 species
AGCUUUGCGCAGUGGCAGUAUCGUAGCCAAUGAGGUUUCUCCGAGGCACGAUUAUUGCUAAUUGAAAACUUUUCCCAAUACCCUGCCCUGACGACUUGAAAUAGAGUCAGCAUUGGCAAUUUUUGACAGUCUCUACAGAGA